ensembl:lncRNA
CAUUUUUUUCUCCAGUUAAUGAAUGGUUUGCAUGCCGUGAAGAUCCCACAGUCAGACAUCACUGUACACUAGCUGAUCAGCUCCUGCCUGGACUUGCCAUCACUGUCAUUUAAGGUUGUGUUAGCCCACGGAAGCAAGAGUACAUGUAUGCUGAAUAUAAGCAAAUGACAGAUUAUCUCUGUUAGAGUCCAUGGUGCUAAGGGACAGAGAAGCUCAGUCUCGAAGUUAAGUGUCAGAACAGAGAUAAGACAUUGAUCUUUUCUUCCUUGCUUUACAGAAUCAGAAGUAUGUAUGGAUAACGCCUGCUUUGUGGCACAGGAAAAUGGAACAGUAAAAAUAGACUUCUACGGUUGAAAGCUUUGCUGCAUGGAGGGAAAGGAAGAAAUGGAGGGAAGUAUUUAAAAAGCAUGGAAGAGACCCGUGUCUUCUUGAACAGGACUGCUGUCAAACAAACGAGGGCUCCAAAAUCA